UACGUAGGGUGCAAGCGUUGUCCGGAAUUAUUGGGCGUAAAGAGCUCGUAGGCGGUUUGUUGCGUCGGCUGUGAAAUCCCGAGGCUCAACCUCGGGUCUGCAGUCGAUACGAGCAAACUAGAGUGUUGCAGGGGAGACUGGAAUUCCUGGUGUAGCGGUGAAAUGCGCAGAUAUCAGGAGGAACACCGGUGGCGAAGGCAGGUCUCUGGGCUGUAACUGACGCUGAGGAGCGAAAGCAUGGGGAGCGAACGGG
rnacentral:rRNA from 1 species